rnacentral:rRNA from 1 species
UAGGGAAUCUUCCACAAUGGACGAAAGUCUGAUGGAGCAACGCAGCGUGAGUGAAGAAGGGUUUCGGCUCGUAAAACUCUGUUGUUAAAGAAGAACAUAUCUGAGAGUAACUGUUCAGGUAUUGACGGUAUUUAACCAGAAAGCCACGGCUAACUACGUGCCAG